CCUACGGGAGGCAGCAGUGGGGAAUUUUGGACAAUGGGCGCAAGCCUGAUCCAGCAAUGCCGCGUGAGUGAAGAAGGCCUUCGGGUUGUAAAGCUCUUUUGUCAGGGAAGAAACGGUGUUUUCUAAUACAGAAUGCUAAUGACGGUACCUGAAGAAUAAGCACCGGCUAACUACGUGCCAGCAGCCGCGGUAAUACGUAGGGUGCAAGCGUUAAUCGGAAUUACUGGGCGUAAAAGCGUGCGCAGGCGGUUUUUGUAAGUCUGUCGUGAAAAUCCCCGGGCUCAACCUGGGAAUGGCGAUGGAGACUGCAAGGCUAGAGUUUGGCAGAGGGGGGGUAGAAUUCCACGUGUAGCAGUGAAAAUGCGUAGAUAUGUGGAGGAACACCGAUGGCGAAGGCAGCCCCCUGGGUCAAGAACUGACGCUCAUGCACGAAAAGACGUGGGGAGGCAAAACAAGGAAUUAGAUAACCCUGGUAGUUCCACGCCCUAAACGAACUAGUCUACUAAGUUGUCGGGUUCGUUAAUUAGUAUUAGGUUAACGGUACGAAGCGAACGACGACGAGAAGAAGACCGACCGGACGGACGGGUACGGGACGGACGAGAAAGUAAAAGUAAAAGUUAAAAGUAAAGUAAGUAGUAGAGAGAGACGACGACGACGACGACGGAGGAGGAGGAGNG
rnacentral:rRNA from 1 species